AUGGUUCCUUCUUCAAUCAAGAAACUCCAUUAUCUGCAAACUAUACAUGUAGAAGCAGAUGUAUCAAGCUCCCUGUGGGAUAUACCUACUCUAAGAUAUGCAUGUGUUCAUGGUAUUUCUCUGCCAAGGCGUGUGCAAAUUCCACAGACCCUACGGGAGCUUCAUAUGUCUUCUACCAUGGUUGAUCAUAACAAAGACCCGAUGGCGAUCCUGGAGAUGCUUCCUUGUCUUGUGGUGCUGGAGUUGCAUGAUUUUAGACCCGAAACAAUGUCCUUUGGUGCCCAAGGGUUCCCUCAGUCUACAAGAGUUACUACUUGA
rnacentral:rRNA from 1 species